rnacentral:rRNA from 1 species
UACGAAGGGGGCUAGCGUUGCUCGGAAUCACUGGGCGUAAAGGGUGCGUAGGCGGGUCUUUAAGUCAGGGGUGAAAUCCUGGAGCUCAACUCCAGAACUGCCUUUGAUACUGAAGAUCUUGAGUCCGGGAGAGGUGAGUGGAACUGCGAGUGUAGAGGUGAAAUUCGUAGAUAUUCGCAAGAACACCAGUGGCGAAGGCGGCUCACUGGCCCGGUACUGACGCUGAGGUGCGAAAGCGUGGGAGCAAACAGG